rnacentral:tmRNA from 1 species
CCCAUUGCAAUGGCCGGCAGCACGCCCUACAUUUGGAGUGUCCUUCGGGACUAUGGACAUAAACGCGCUCGUAAUAAGCGGAUCGGACCCGGGGGCGGUACCCGGCGGCUCCACCAAACAUCCUUCAUUUGGGGAUCAUGGGGCCGAAAUAGGAUCGACGAACGUCUAAAGGUGUUGCUUUGUCUCGGUGAGUUACCACCGUUAUCGGUACAAAAUGUACAAUUGCAAAUGACAAUCGUGCUCCGGUAGCUCUGGCUGCGUAAGCAGUCCGAAAAACCGAAAAUUAAGCCCUAGCGCUUUGCAGUGUUAGGCGGGGUUUGCAGGUACCUGGCAACAGAAACCUGCGCU